AAAAUGAGUAUUUAAAAUCCUCUCUAAAGAAAACUCUAACCCUAACCACCAGAGAGGAGAUCAGAGAAGAAGGAGAGGGGCGUCCGAAAAGCGAACCAGUCGCCGAAGAAGGAGACCAGCCACUAUCGCCGUACCAGAGCCAUCGCCGACACCAAAAAGGUAAAAUUUUUUUCCUUCUGGUCAGAAUUGGAUUUCAAACCUCCCCACACCCAUAUCGAAGCUAAAAGGCCAAAGGGUGAGCCAGGAAUAACGAGCGAAGCUCAACCGAGCUGCAAAGGCCGCAACUCGAAAAACCCUCUGAUGAGCCCCUUCAUGUUUCCCGUUUCCCUCGAUUUUUUAAUUAUUGUCUUCCUCAUUUCAUUUUGUUGUAGGUUAGCCAAAGAGAAGGACUACAAGAGAGGAACAGUGGAGCCAUUGCACCGAAAAACUCCUCCACUGGUAAGGUCUCGAUUUUC
rnacentral:lncRNA from 1 species